AGUGAACGCUGGCGGUAGGCCUAACACAUGCAAGUCGAACGGCAGCACAGUAAGAGCUUGCUCUUACGGGUGGCGAGUGGCGGACGGGUGAGGAAUACAUCGGAAUCUACUUUUUCGUGGGGGAUAACGUAGGGAAACUUACGCUAAUACCGCAUACGACCUACGGGUGAAAGCAGGGGAUCUUCUGACCUUGCGCGAUUGAAUGAGCCGAUGUCGGAUUAGCUAGUUGGCGGGGUAAAGGCCCACCAAGGCGACGAUCCGUAGCUGGUCUGAGAGGAUGAUCAGCCACACUGGAACUGAGACACGGUCCAGACUCCUACGGGAGGCAGCAGUGGGGAAUAUUGGACAAUGGGCGAAAGCCUGAUCCAGCCAUACCGCGUGGGUGAAGAAGGCCUUCGGGUUGUAAAGCCCUUUUGUUGGGAAAGAAAAGCGGCAGGUUAAUACCCCGCUGUUCUGACGGUACCCAAAGAAUAAGCACCGGCUAACUUCGUG
rnacentral:rRNA from 1 species